rnacentral:pre_miRNA from 1 species
UCAAUCCAGAGCAGUGUUUUCUUUACAUACAGAUAAUCUAGAAAACUGCAUCUGGAUUGAUC